UAUUUUCUCAACAAAUAAUAUUAUAAUAUUUUCUAUUCUAACACUCCCCCUCAAGCUAAAGCUUACUAAGCUUUAAGCUUGUUACAAAAUUAACCCUGAAAAUAANNNNNNNNNNNNNNNNNNNNNNNNNNNUAAGGUAUCACAAACGGGGUAUGCCCGCGGAUUAAGGGAUAACAAACGGGGUAUGCCCGCAAAUUAAGGGAUCACAAACGGGGUAUGCCCGCGGAUUAAGGGAUCACAAACGGGGUAUGCCCGCGGAUUAAGGGAAAACAAACGGGGUAUGCCCGCGGAUUAAGGGAAAACAAACGGGUAACGGGAUUAAAGGUAACGGGGACCCGCGGAUUAAAGAAUCACAAACGGGUAACAGGAGAUUAAAGGUAACGGGGACCCGCGGAUUAAAGAAUCACAAACGGGUAACAAGAUUAAAGGUAACAGGACCCGCGGAUUAAAGAAUCACAAACGGGUAACAAGAUUAAAGGUAACGGGUAACGGGAUUAAAGGUAACUGGGACCCGCGGAUUAAAGAAUCACAAACGGGUAACAAAAUAAAAAGAAAUUUCAAUGACGGCUAGGGUUUAUAUGAAAAAAAAGGUAAAAAAGGUAAAGUGAAGAAUAACCAAGAAUUAAUUAUUCUCGGGAGAAAUUGCAGCGGAAUUAUGUUUCAAGGUGGAUACCAUGGCUCUGAUACCAUG
rnacentral:lncRNA from 1 species